rnacentral:rRNA from 1 species
GGGGAAUCUUGGGCAAUGGGGGAAAGCCUGACCCAGCAACUCCGCGUGGGGGAAAAAACCCUUCGGGUCGUAAACCCCUGUUCUGGGGGAAGAACCCUGCCUUAGUUAAUAGCUAAGGCAGGCUGACGGUACCCCAGGAGAAAACCACGGCUAACUGCGUGCCAGCAGCCGCGGUAAUACGCAGGUGGCAAGCGUUGCCCGGAAUCACUGGGCGUAAAGGGUGCGUAGGCGGCUGGGUAAGUCGCAGGUUAAAGCCCGGGGCUCAACCCUGGAAAGGCCUGCGAUACUGCCUGGCUUGAGGGCCGGAGAGGCUGGCGGAAUUCCCGGUGUAGGGGUGAAAUCCGUAGAUAUCGGGAGGAACACCGGUGGGGAAGCUGGCCAGCUGGACGGUCCCUNACGCUGAGGCACGAAAGCGUGGGGAGCCAACCGGAUUAGAUACCCGGGUAGUCCACGCCGUNAACGAUGGGUGCUAGGUUUGGGGAGGUAAACUCUCUGGGCCGCAGCUAACGCGUUAAGCACCCCGCCUGGGGAGUACGU